rnacentral:rRNA from 1 species
ACGAAGGGUGCAAGCGUUACUCGGAAUUACUGGGCGUAAAGCGUGCGUAGGCGGUUUGUUAAGUCCGUUGUGAAAGCCCUGGGCUCAACCUGGGAAUUGCAGUGGAUACUGGCGAGCUAGAGUGCGGUAGAGGAUGGUGGAAUUCCCGGUGUAGCGGUGAAAUGCGUAGAGAUCGGGAGGAACACCUGAGGCGAAGGCGGGUUACUGGGCCGAUACUGACGCUGAUGCGCGAAAGCCAGGGGAGCAAACGGGA